rnacentral:lncRNA from 1 species
UUCAGCUUCUCAUUUUACUCAGGCUCAAACCUGACAUCUUGUGGUGUGUCCUACCUAGCCCUCUCAGCUUCUCCCUACAUUAUACCUGACACUGUUUUCACUCAGCCAUCAGCUCAUCACUGGGAUGUCUCUACUGUGUCCUUGACUAAUGCUUUCUACACAGGGAUUAAGAUUUCACAGCAGACAUCUUUGCCUUCAGGUUGAUCUAUUUUUCUAUUUCCUCUGCUAGGUCCUUUUACAGGAGUGGAGUCCUUCCCUCCAAGAGAGGUUAGCAACUGGUCAGACAUUCAGGCCAUUUUCUUUCUGCUAGCCUGUGCUUCUUUGAGUAGGUCCAAUUCAGUGCUACUAGGUCAUGCCUGUUCCAGUAUCCUGAACUCAGUGAGGAGGUUGGAUCAAGUGUCAAAGGAAUGAAGGUCAAGCUCUGGAUUUUAUCAGAGAGUCUGAGCAAGACCACUGAUGUUCUGGGAAAAACUUGACUUUUCAGUGGGAUCUUCAUCUGCUGUACAUAACCAACAACCUCUGCUGUGAUGAAAACCAGGUAGACAGAGAGUCCACAGCAGGAAAUGGGUCCGAGGUCUAACAACUUAAUGCUUCCAAUUCUGUCUUCUAGGGAACGCUAACAAAUCUGCAUACUGCUAUAUUCCAGAGGAUGAUAAAAGGUGCUGCAGUUGGCAUGACUGCUGACAAGAGACACUCAGAGGUUCACUUCAAAUUCAAUAUUCAGAUUGUCUUCAUGGUCUUUCCUUAGUCUCCCCUUAGAGACAGAACUGAAAUUCACCCUGGACCACAUCUUUUACAUGCAGGUAAGAUGAUCACUUUAGAUAACUUAGCUUUUGAUGCUUAGACACUGGGAUUCCAAAAGCUAUGAGAGGAGAGGGCACAAAGUAGAGCUCAGUCCUGCAGCUCAUACCAUGCAUAGCUGACGUGCUGGGUUCUGUCCUCAGGGGGCAGCAUGGGGAAAAGUCUAUUUCAUGUCAUAGGAAACUCCCAAUCAGUCUCAUGUCUCUGCACCUAGAGGAGAGGCUUUGCUUGAAUCACAUCCUAAAGCAAGUGAGGUUGGAAACGUGGUUGCAUAUGACUAGUCCUACCACACUUGCUGCAGCUCUUGUGAGGGAUGUUCCCGGUACAUCUUUAUCCAAUGCCAUCCAGGUAUGAGUUAGGUACUCUUGCUACAAUGACAACCCAAUGCAUGUACAUUUUUGAUAUAUGGAAGGACAGGGUAUUUAGUGUUUUGGUAAAAGUACCCAUAUCUACUCAUGACGGAGAUAAAUAUACACUGUGUCCUUGUGAGAAAUGGGAAACCAUGCUGAGGAAGGUCUAUUCUGAGGACAACGGCCCUGAGAACACAGAAACCCAGCAAUGCUCACAGGAAAAGUCACAUUUGAAGCCCUGCUUGACAGACCCAGCAUCUCUCCUUCCUCCUGACUUUCUUUGUAAAACAGUCUUCCCCUCAGACACACCCAUUUCAGUCAUUCUCACAGCCAUCAACUUAAUCCACAAUCUGGAUGUCAGCCAACUCUUACACCUCUCCCUUUGUGUAACAUGGGAAGAUGAUAAUCAUGCCCAGUGUCGUAUGAGUUCUAUAUUAACCCUGCCUUACUGCACAUUUAGACCUGUCAGCAGCCUUUGCUCUUGUGGAACAUGGGCAGAUGCUGGCCAUACACAGAAUCCUAACAGCUUUAGAAUGGGCCCACUUCACUGCACAGCUAGGCCUGUUGCAGCAGGCUUUUCUGUGAGCCAUGUGGACAUCUUUUUCCUUUGGUAUGCGUUCCUUGUAAAGUAGGCCUAGGAAAUGAUAUCAGGAAAUCUCUUCACCUUGUAAGUCUUUACAGCUCCUCCCUCAUGUCCUUGGCAUUUUGAAAUGAGCCAGGCUCCAAUUACACCCAUAGCAAAUGGCAACCAAAUCACACUCCAUUCAUUUCUGACCUGGUCCUGAUCUCACCUCCAAAAUACUCAGAGGACAUAAUCCAUAUGUCAAUUUUCUAAGGUGUAGAUGAUGAGCUGACAGUUGGAGGGAAUGUAGAAGUGAAAGAUUCUCUCUUGAGCAUCCUCAGAGAGGUGUAGUAGUUCAGACCCACAUAGAGGGAAACCACUACUUUAAACUGGCCUUUGUGAGCACCAUAUCUUCUCGGGACAUUAAACAAUGAUAUUGGGGUUCUUCUAAACUGGCGUGGCCCAUACUGUCAAAACAGAGUGCUGUGUCUUUUUAAAUUGUAGAGGGGAGAUGGUCUCCUUCUGCUACAGAUAUGAGCUGGGUUUAGUACUGCUCAUGCUGAGAGAUGAGCAUGUUCAUUCAGAAGGUAGCCUUUUCUUCUGGUCCCACAGGAAGCCAUUGAUCGCCUGUCUCAUUCUUUCUGCUGCCUGGAAAUCCUAAGCGCUUUUGAGUUUAACAUAGGGAGCCAUGGGGAUACCAUUUCCUGCACAUUCUUCCCACAUUACCAGCCACAGAAUGCUAAGGUGUCCUGUAAGCUUUCCCAGUAUCUCUGAAGAACUCAAUAUGCCUGGUUAUUAGCACUUGCUUUGGACGAUGCCACUGAAAAUCCAUGAGGUUUUAUUAUUGUCAUUGCAUGCCUUUACUCUUCUGUUUGGUUAAUAAGUGAACAUUCAUGAAGAUCAACUUAAAAAUAGGCAUGUAAAAUGUAUUCACAAAAGUGUCAAUGCUCUUGUCCCAAACUGUUAUGUCCCCAAACCCCUGCUCCAACCCCACAAGUUAUCUCAUUCACAAGACUUGCUCUGUCUUUACAGUAUUUGCUCCAUUGCAUCUGGCCCAUGUUUCCUGGGCAUGUUUCCUUCUGGUUUGUAGCAAUGACCCUGCUGCUUUUAGCUGGCAGACUAUCUCUUAUUUCUAAGGUGGUUGUUAAGCAGACCAUCUCCCUUGUCUUGACUCAUGUGCAGUUAUUAUGAAUCACCUUGCAAGAAGGAGUUGAAAUACCACUAGCAAUGUUGUAUUUAUGGGCUUGAUUGUCAAGGUUACUCAUAGACAUGAGAACGAGCUGGGUCAAGAGAAACAUAAUAAGCUGAUAAAUCCUAUCAAGUUCCCAGUGAUGUGUUCAAAUGUGUGAUGCUUAAACUUGGGAGGCUAAAUAGUACUUUUCAAAAGGCCAGGCUUGCACCUACCCAUGAAGAGUCCAAAGAAUUCCACUUCAGGUUUUAGGUUUACCCAGGGCUGAAAGACAAAUCUACAAUAGCCAUUGGCAUUCCCACAAACAUGUAAAAGCAAAUGCUACUACUAGAUGCCAUGAAUGAUCCUUUUCUUGUAGUUUACUUGACAUCCUUUAGGAUUUUAGCUUCCUUUUCUGUCAUGUGUUCUUGAGGGCUCUUGGACUAUAA